CGUCUGUUUGUGUUGUUUACCGAACGCCCCAACCGUCCAGGUGCACCCGGCCACCUCACCCACCCCCAUAGUGAUGACGUGUUCGGGUCCAACUCAUCCCUUGGUGAUUCUGUGCUCUCAGGAAGUAGUACAGACUUUGACGAGAGACGCUCGAGGGCCAGACGCCACAAGAGGAACCAACUUGCCCGCCAGCUGACGGCCGACUCGGUCAAGACGUACAGCAGUAGCGCAGACGUGGACAACAUCGUCAGUCUGGAGUCAGAUAAAAAACAGCACAGCCCAGCCUUGUCUAAGGGAAGUAAGCAGGACAUCAAGGGCAAUAAUCAUGUUGGUAGAUACGAGAAGAGAGUCAAGAACGUCGAGAGAGUAAGAGAACCGGAGGUCAGAGGUCAAGGGAAGAGUAAAGAGAA